rnacentral:rRNA from 1 species
UGGGGAAUUUUGGACAAUGGGCGAAAGCCUGAUCCAGCAAUGCCGCGUGUGUGAAGAAGGCCUUCGGGUUGUAAAGCACUUUUGUCCGGAAAGAAAUCCUUGGCUCUAAUACAGUCGGGGGAUGACGGUACCGGAAGAAUAAGCACCGGCUAACUACGUGCCAGCAGCCGCGGUAAUACGUAGGGUGCAAGCGUUAAUCGGAAUUACUGGGCGUAAAGCGUGCGCAGGCGGUUUGCUAAGACCGAUGUGAAAUCCCGGGCUCAACCUGGGAACCGCAUUGGUGACUGGCAGGCUAGAGUAUGGCAGAGGGGGGUAGAAUUCCACGUGUAGCAGUGAAAUGCGUAGAGAUGUGGAGGAAUACCGAUGGCGAAGGCAGCCCCCUGGGCCAAUACUGACGCUCAUGCACGAAA